ensembl:lncRNA
CUGUGGCAUAGGCCGGCAGCUGUAGCUCCGACUGGACCCCUAGCCUGGGAACCUCCAUAUGCCUCAGGUGUGGCCCUAAAAAGAAAAAGAAAGAAAAAAAUCCAAGGCCCAGGAGCUUUUUAGGCCCUCUCAAACACAAACAAACCAAAACAGAAAAGCACCACAAUUGUUCUGGAAUCAACUUACUGCCACCCAGAAAAAGAGUGUUUUCAGAUACAUAGUUAUUAGUUCCAAACACCAAAAUAUGGCUGGAGAACAGUGCUUUGGAGAGUGUCAAGGAAAAGCGGGGAGGGAACAAAGCUGUGACCUGGAGGAGCUAUUCAAGACACACCAACUUGCUGAGAGGGAGAGCAGAUAAUGAAAGAAACCCUGCCCACCCCCACCCCCUCAAAGUCUCCAGGAUGACACCGUGGCUGAGAGAACCUUCUCUAGCACCGAUUUUGGCCUCACUAAGGCAGCCAGGAGAAUGGACUGUUCCCUGGUAUGUGCCACAUUUCCAUGGAAAAUCUAUUAGGUUUUGCAGUUUAUUUCCAAAUGGAGUCGCAUGAAGAGCCAGAGGGGAGAUAAGGACAAGAAGCAGAAGUGUGCCUACUGGUUUUCCAUCCCGUCUGGGCCUCCUGGCAUCACCAAGAUUGUUGAGAAUGUCCUUUGGCUGGAAACAGAAAAGGAGAGUGAAAACAGAACAGAGCCGCAGCUUGCUUGGGACUGCUCACCUCACCCUGGAACUCAGCAUCUCAGGCCCUUCCUCCCCUGAGGGGCCCACAUUUAGAGUCUGUAAGUACAGCCCUCAGUUACUAAGUGUGCAGAGCCCUGUGCUCCAGGCGGUGAGGGUGCAAGAACUCUCUNNNNNNNNNNNAUUCCUGUGCUCUGGGGAAGGAGAUGCGGUCUGAUGAGAAGGUAAAAGCUAGGAAUUUGGAGAGGAGUAAAUUGAGAAGCAUGUAAAACAGCAAAAAGCCUGGUGCAUGAAAGCAUCCUCGCUGCGUCUCCUGAACACUUGCUGUGAUGGCUCUUGGACAGGCAGGGUGUGCCAGGAGAGGUUGAAACCACAUCCCUGGCAUCCACAAGAGGAAAAGCUCACAUCAGGUUGGGGGAACUCAGGGGAGACUUCAUGAAGGAGUGGCCUUGAGCAGUUUUUUUUUUUUAAGGCUAGGGUACUGGGAGGCAGGAUGGUGGAAUGGGAGCAACUUCCAGCUCUGUCACUUAGCCGUGUGACCUCAGACUAGUUAUUUGAUCAUAUUAAGCCUCAGGAAGAUAAUUCUUUUAUUGGCGCAUUAAACUGAGUACAGUGUCACAGUAAAUAUUUGGUAUGUGGUAGCUGUCAUGGUUAUUUGAGAAUUAGAGGAGUUCCCAUCAUGGCUCAGCAGAAAUGAAUCUGACUAGCAUCCAUAAGGACUCAGUUUCGAUCCCUGGCCUCGCUCAGUGGGUUAAGGAUCUGGCAUUGCUGUGGCUAUGGCAUAGGCCAAUUCGACCCCUAGCCUGGGAACCUCCGUAUACCACGGGUGUGGCCCUAUAAAGACAAAAAGAGAGAGAAGGGCUACUUUAUAAGUAUAGAUAAUAUAGGCAAAGUCAUGGAGCUAAUAAAAGCCAAGAAUUGAGAGAAAGUGGCACUGCCUCUCAAAUGACAGUCCUAACAUUUCUUCAGAGCUGUAUUUCUGCCAUAUAAUGAGCACCGAGAAAAGUACCUAACACCUAGUACUCAACAAAUGUUUGUCGAAUGAAUGGAUGUCCUUCAGGAACCUCAAAUUCAAUUAGUUACAUCUCAGCCCUUCUCUGAGCCAAGCCUGCAGUGGUACUUGGAUUCUCAAACUUCAUUAAACACUUCCUGAUCACCCUGUUUCCCAAUCUAAAACCCUGGAAAUGACUUUCCUCUCUGCCCUUCCCUCUUCUAAGAAGUCACUGCUAGAUUCUCAGAAAUUCCUCUUGAAUUUGUCAUCCUUCCUCCAUCCCCACUGCCACGUACAUCAUCUCUGCCCAGCUGUUUCGGCAGCCUUCUAUCUUCUCUUCCUGCCACCAGUGCAGGACGGUAGGCAGUAGAUAAAGCUGGAGCUCUAGGGUACGACGUGGAUAUGGAGGAUGGCUCCAACUUUUCUCUGCCUAUACAGGCUUCCGGCAAGGGACAAAAUACUUUCUGACCUACGUUUCUUAAGACUUCUUGCCCUAGCAUCCCUAAAUCCAUAACACCCUAAGCCCACAGUCCCAAUUCUCCUACAGCCUCCUCUGCACUUCAUAUUUGUACCUCAAUAGCAGCUGCUCUUUGUGUCUGUUAUCUUCCACUGGAGCCUUGUGCAGGAGGAGCCAAGCUGAGAGACAAGGAUAUAUAUAAAUAGAAAGUGGGUGUAAAGUUCUGCAGUUGCAUGUUUUUAAAAAGACUAAUUCCAUCUCUUCUCCAUUUGAUUUUUGAAAUUCCUGUCCACCCCCUCAUCUUCCAUCUUUUCCAAAAGCCUGUGCAUUCCUUUGCUCUCUCCUUGGUCAAGUCCAUGAUAAACCUGGAAACCAUGACAGCUAAGAGAUGGAUGUGACCUGGAAAGAAGUGCAUGUAGGAGUUCCCCUUGUGGCACGCGCACUGCUGGCCUGGAAGAAGCCUUUGGGUGAGACUGACAGGUGAGCGCCUGGAAGCCAUGUCCUGGCGAGAGUCCCCUUCUGCCUGCCCAGUGAUGCUCUGAGGGCAGGAUGACCACAGGCUGGGGGACCACUCCCCUGCCCUGGCAACCAUAACCCUGCAUAGCCACCAGCUGAGCAGGCGAGCAACUCUCCACAUGCAUCAGCAACCAGUCCCUCUCAGUGGGAAGACACAUCUACCCGGGAGCUGCAACUUCAACCUUAAUUUUGACCAUGGAAAAGAAUUACUUGGUGCUGACGGUGGUACAGGAACCACAGGAGGAAGUUGAAUUGAGAGAGAAGGGCAUGCUGGCCAUGGAAUGAGUGAGUGAGCAAGUAAAUAAACAGUCCUAGAAACAUACUUUGAAGGAAUUAGAGAAAAGUUACUAUCUCACAUUUAGAGAUUUACAUGGGAGUGUGGCAUAAGAAAGGGGGGAGGCUCUGGCAUCAGAAAAUGAGGACAGCCCAUUCAUAGGAAGUCCUCAGACAGAAAAAGGGGAGCUGAAGAAACCAGCGUGGCUCUAAGAGGGCACUCUGACAGGCUCACAACUGAAAAAGCAGGUAUGGAGUUACCUUUUGGCACAGCAGGUUAGGAUCCAGCAUUGUCACUGCAGCGGCUUGGGUCACUGCUGUGGUGGGCAGGUUUGAUCCCUGGCUGGAACUUUUUCAUGCCACAGGCACAGCCCAAAAAAAAAAAAAAAAAAAAAAAAAAA